rnacentral:rRNA from 1 species
UGGGGGAUAUUGCACAAUGGGCGCAAGCCUGAUGCAGCAACGCCGCGUGAGGGAAGAAGGUUUUCGGAUUGUAAACCUCUGUCCUAAGUGAAGAUCAUGACGGUAGCUUAGGAGGAAGCCACGGCUAACUACGUGCCAGCAGCCGCGGUAAUACGUAGGUGGCAAGCGUUGUCCGGAAUUACUGGGUGUAAAGGGUGCGCAGGCGGGACUGCAAGUUGGAUGUGAAAAGUCGGGGCUCAACCCCGUCCCUGCAUCCAAAACUGUGGUUCUUGAGUGAAGUAGAGGUAAGCGGAAUUCCGAGUGUAGCGGUGAAAUGCGUAGAUAUUCGGAGGAACACCAGUGGCGAAGGCGGCUUACUGGGCUUUAACUGACGCUGAGGCACGAAAGUGUGGGGAGCAAACA